AUGUGUGUGUGUGUGUACAAGUAUAUAUAUAUAUAUAUACACACACACACACACACACACACACACACACACACACACACACAUAU
rnacentral:miRNA from 1 species